AGUCAGAUGUGUUUGGGUGAUCAGAAACAAAUUUACACCAAGUUAAUACUGCAAAUAUACACAAUCUAAGUUAUUACAGUUAUCAAGGAUGGUUAAAUUGUUUUAAUAGGGAGAGAAGGAAACACUAAGCAUUCAGGAGGGUAAGCCUGUAGGGGUCAGUAACCAUAACACUGAACUAUGUUCCUGUUCGGCUCUUCCAUGAAGAUGAUGUUACAUUUUUAAUUUUAGUUCUUUCUUCUUAGAUUAAGCUUCUGGAUUCAUCGCCGGUGGUACUGACACAUAGCCAGUGCUCCUGUGUGGCAGGUGCUGUUAUGUGCAAUCACACAGUGGCACUGCUCUUCCAAACAGCACACUACUCACAACUCAGAGUGCCGGUUGUCCCCCUGUGCAUAGCUGCACCGAAUCUGAACAGCAAUGGCACAAGCCACGGACAGUGGGUGUGAAGCCAGGACCUAUCAACUCUAUGAUCUUCACUAAGCCGGUACCAAAUAGGAUGGCCCAGACUGGAGUACGGAGUGGAUUCUACAGAGGCAUUGUGGGUCCAUUACCAGAUCCCUGACCUGACAAGCCCCUUGUGGAAAGUGCCUUUGGGCUGGUGCAGGAGGGCAGUGUUCUGUCAUGUCAGCAGCCGGUUUUGACAACCCGGUACAUCACACUACACCGUGAUGCACCACCAACACCGCACUUGCCUCUGGAGUAUGGGUAUGACAUGAAGGAAACCCUGCUCGCUCAGACAGCCUG